rnacentral:lncRNA from 12 species
GCAUUGCAUUAGCCUGCUACCACUUUUUCAACAAAUCAAAGAAGAUUCCUUAAACCUCACAGGCCAUCUGUUACGGACACCCUCUCCUUCUGGGAGUUAUGCCACCUGUCCCUCCAGCCGUGAAGUCCCCACACAGAGCCAGCAGAGUUCUACACGGAUGGCAGCCCGCCGGAGCCCACGGUGGUGGGGAGCCGCGGCCCAGGUUCUAGGGGACUCUUGGUAGCCUGCCCAGCCACCGCCCUCACUGUGUUAAU